rnacentral:rRNA from 1 species
AAGACGCUUGAGAGAACUCAGGAGAAGGAACUCGGCAAAUUGACACCGUAACUUCGGAAGAAGGUGUGCCUUUAGUAGGUGAAGUCCCUCGCGGAUGGAGCCCAAUGAGGUUGCAAAAAAUCGGUGGCUGCGACUGUUUAUUAAAAACACAGCACUCUGCAAACACGAAAGUGGACGUAUAGGGUGUGACGCCUGCCCGGUGCUGGAAGAUUAAAUGAUGGGGUGCAAGCUCUUGAUUGAAGUCCCAGUAAACGGCGGCCGUAACUAUAACGGUCCUAAGGUAGCGAAAUUCCUUGUCGGGUAAGUUCCGACCUGCACGAAUGGCGUAACGACGGCCACACUGUCUCCUCCUGAGACUCAGCGAAGUUGAAAUGUUUGUGAUGAUGCAAUCUCCCCGCGGAAAGACGGAAAGACCCCAUGAACCUUUACUGUAGCUUUGUAUUGGACUUUGAACAGAUCUGUGUAGGAUAGGUGGGAGGCUUUGAAGCAGGGUCGCUAGACCUUGUGGAGCCAACGUUGAAAUACCACCCUGGUGUGUUUGAGGUUCUAACCUAGGCCCGUAAUCCGGGUUGGGGACAGUGCAUGGUAGGCAGUUUGACUGGGGCGGUCUCCUCCCAAAGUGUAACGGAGGAGUUCGAAGGUACGCUAGUUACGGUCGGACAUCGUGACGAUAGUGCAAUGGCAUAAGCGUGCUUAACUGCGAGACUGACAAGUCGAGCAGAUGCGAAAGCAGGACAUAGUGAUCCGGUGGUUCUGUAUGGAAGGGCCAUCGCUCAACGGAUAAAAGGUACUCUGGGGAUAACAGGCUGAUACCGCCCAAGAGUUCAUAUCGACGGCGGUGUUUGGCACCUCGAUGUCGGCUCAUCUCAUCCUGGGGCUGUAGCCGGUCCCAAGGGUAUGGCUGUUCGCCAUUUAAAGAGGUACGUGAGCUGGGUUUAAAACGUCGUGAGACAGUUUGGUCCCUAUCUUCCGUGGGCGCUGCAGAUUUGAGGAAGCCUGCUCCUAGUACGAGAGGACCGGAGUGGACGCACCUCUGGUGUAUCGGUUGUCACGCCAGUGGCAUUGCCGAGUAGCUAUGUGCGGAAGAGAUAACCGCUGAAAGCAUCUAAGCGGGAAACUCGUUUCAAGAUGAGAUCUGCCGGGGCCUUGAGCCCCCUGAAGAGUCGUUCAAGACCAGGACGUUGAUAGGUCGGGUGUGGAAGCGCAGUAAUGCGUUAAGCUAACCGAUACUAAUUGCUCGUGCGGCUUGACCCC